rnacentral:rRNA from 1 species
GACGAACGCUGGCGGCGUGCUUAACACAUGCAAGUCGAACGGAAAGGCCCUGCUUGCAGGGUCCUCGAGUGGCGAACGGGUGAGUAACACGUGGGUGAUCUGCCCUGCACUUCGGGAUAAGCCUGGGAAACUGGGUCUAAUACCGGAUAGGAGCCAUUUUUAGUGUGAUGGUUGGAAAGUUUUUUCGGUGUAGGAUGAGCUCGCGGCCUAUCAGCUUGUUGGUGGGGUAAUGGCCUACCAAGGCGGCGACGGGUAGCCGGCCUGAGAGGGUGGACGGCCACAUUGGGACUGAGAUACGGCCCAGACUCCUACGGGAGGCAGCAGUGGGGAAUAUUGCACAAUGGGCGCAAGCCUGAUGCAGCGACGCCGCGUGGGGGAUGACGGCCUUCGGGUUGUAAACUCCUUUCGCUAGGGACGAAGCUUUUUGUGACGGUACCUAGAGAAGAAGCACCGGCUAACUACGUG